rnacentral:rRNA from 1 species
AUGUCCUUCCUGACGACUUUGCCAUUUCAAAAAUCUUCCUCCACCCUUCCAUUAGACCGUACUUCUGAAAUCAUUAUGCUCUUGUUGGCAAGGGCUGGACUUCGUCCUCUGCUUGGACCAACACGACGGAUGCAUGAGGAGUGGAGAGAGCCCGCAUCCGGCGGAAGCAAGGCAGGGGGUCAGAUAGCACCAUGGUGCCCUGCCCGCGUCACCGUUAAGCCAGGCAGCAAGCCAGCAACUCGCGUCAGCGACCCUCCUGCAGCAACGUAG